GACGAACGCUGGCGGCGUGCCUAACACAUGCAAGUCGAGCGAGUGAAUCUCCUUCGGGAGUGAAACUAGCGGCGGACGGGUGAGUAACACGUGGGCAACCUGCCCCAUAGAGGGGAAUAGCCUUUCGAAAGGAAGAUUAAUACCGCAUAAGAUUGUAGCUUCGCAUGAAGUAGCAAUUAAAGGAGUAAUCCGCUAUGAGAUGGGCCCGCGGCGCAUUAGCUAGUUGGUGAGGUAACGGCUCACCAAGGCGACGAUGCGUAGCCGACCUGAGAGGGUGAUCGGCCACAUUGGGACUGAGACACGGCCCAGACUCCUACGGGAGGCAGCAGUGGGGAAUACUGCACAAUGGGGGAAACCCUGAUGCAGCAACGCCGCGUGAGUGAUGACGGCCUUCGGGUUGUAAAACUCUGUCUUCAGGGACGAUAAUGACGGUACCUGAGGAGGAAGCCACGGCUAACUACGUGCCAGCCGCCGCCGUAA
rnacentral:rRNA from 1 species